rnacentral:lncRNA from 1 species
GCUGUUUUUGCUCUGUGAGACCGGACGUUUCAACGGUGUUCCAUGCGAUGUGAAUGCCACGAUUGUCAACCGGAC